rnacentral:rRNA from 1 species
CCUACGGGAGGCAGCAGUGGGGAAUAUUGGGCAAUGGGCGAAAGCCUGACCCAGCAACGCCGCGUGAAGGAAGAAGGCUUUCGGGUUGUAAACUUCUUUUGACAGGGAAGAGCAGAAGACGGUACCUGUCGAAUAAGCCACGGCUAACUACGUGCCAGCAGCCGCGGUAAUACGUAGGUGGCACGCGUUGUCCGGAUUUACUGGGUGGAAAGGGCGUGUAGCCGGGCUGACAAGUCAGAUGUGAAAUCCGGGGGCUCAACCCCCGAACUGCAUUUGAAACUGUUGGUCUUGAGUAUCGGAGAGGCAGGCGGAAUUCCUAGUGUAGCGGUGAAAUGCGUAGAUAUUAGGAGGAACACCAGUGGCGAAGGCGGCCUGCUGGACGACAACUGACGGUGAGGCGCGAAAGCGUGGGGAGCAAACAGGAUUAGAUACCCCAGUAGUC